rnacentral:rRNA from 1 species
GACGAGGGGUCCUAGCGUUGUUCGGAAUCAUUGGGCGUAAAGCGUGUGUAGGCGGCCUUGUAAGUCAGUUGUGAAAGCCCCGGGCUUAACCCGGGAAGUGCUUCUGAUACUGCAUGGCUUGAAUGUUGGAGAGGAUAGUAGAAUUCCAGGUGUAGUGGUGAAAUACGUAGAUAUCUGGAGGAAUACCGGUGGCGAAGGCGGCUAUCUGGCCAUACAUUGACGCUGAGACACGAAAGCGUGGGGAGCAAACAGG